rnacentral:rRNA from 1 species
AAGCCUUCCAUGGCGCCUGUUUAUCAAAAACAUGGUUUUUUGUAAUUAUAGGAAAUUUGGUCUGCUCACUGCUAAGAAGUAAAUAGCCGCAGUAUAUUGACUGUGCUAAGGUAGCAUAAUCAUUUGCCUUUUAAAUGGAGGCUAGUAUGAAUGAUUUAACGGGAUGAAGUCUGUCUCCUAAUAAUGGUUUGAAGUUGAUUAGCUGGUAAAAAGGCCAUUGUUUCCCUGAGGGACGAUAAGACCCUAUUAAGCUUAAUUUUAGAAUUUUGCUGGGGAGGCAGUUUAAGAUUAGGAUCUUAAUAGUUGUGGGUGAGAUUUUGAUGACCCAAUAUUAUUGAGGGAUAGAUGAAGUUACUAUAGGGAUAACAGCUUUAUUUUUUUAUUAAGUUCUUAUUAUAAAAAGAGUUUGUGACCUCGAUGUUGAAUUAAAGGUUCUUUUUGGCGAAGCCGCUAGGAAAGAAAGUCUGUUCGACUUUUAAGCCUUUACGUGAUCUGAGUUCAGACCGGCCUGG